GACGAACCGUGCGAACGUUGUUCGGAAUCACUGGGCUUAAAGGGCGCGUAGGCGGCCACCGCAAGUCGACUGUGAAAUCUCCGGGCUUAACCCGGAAAGGUCAGCCGAUACUGCGGGGCUAGAGUGCAGAAGGGGCAACUGGAAUUCUCGGUGUAGCGGUGAAAUGCGUAGAUAUCGAGAGGAACACCUGCGGCGAAGGCGGGCUGCUGGGCUGACACUGACGCUGAGGCGCGAAAGCUAGGGGAGCGAACGGG
rnacentral:rRNA from 1 species